rnacentral:rRNA from 1 species
AUUGAACGCUGGCGGCAGGCCUAACACAUGCAAGUCGAACGAGUGGCGGACGGGUGAGUAAUGUCUGGGAAACUGCCUGAUGGAGGGGGAUAACUACUGGAAAAGGUAGCUAAUACCGCAUACCAUCGGAUGUGCCCAGAUGGGAUUAGCUAGUAGGUGGGGUAAAGGGUCACCUAGGCGUCAAUCCCUAGCUGGUCUGAGGGGAUGACCGGCCACACGAGACGUGACAAACGGGCCAAAAUCCUAGGGGAGGAAGCAGUGGGGAAUAUAGCACCAUGGGCGCCAGCCUGAUGCAGCGCUGCCGCGUGUAUGAAGAAGGCAUUCGAGUUGUGAAGAACUCUAAGCGGGGAGGCGUGAACCUCAGAAUAAGCACCGGCUAACUCCGUGCCAGCAGGCGCGGUAAUAC